rnacentral:rRNA from 1 species
GUGGGGAAUAUUGGACAAUGGUCGGAAGACUGAUCCAGCCAUGCCGCGUGCAGGAAGACGGUCCUAUGGAUUGUAAACUGCUUUUGUACGGGAGCAAUAAGUGCCACGUGUGACACGAUGAGAGUACCGUACGAAUAAGCAUCGGCUAACUCCGUGCCAGCAGCCGCGGUAAUACGGAGGAUGCGAGCGUUAUCCGGAUUUAUUGGGUUUAAAGGGUGCGUAGGCGGCUUGACAAGUCAGCGGUGAAAUGCAAGGGCCUAACCCUUGACGUGCCGUUGAAACUGCCGGGCUAGAAUGCGGAUGCUGUGGGAGGAAUGUGUAGUGUAGCGGUGAAAUGCAUAGAUAUUACACAGAACACCGAUUGCGAAGGCAUCUCACAAAUCCGCUAUUGACGCUGAGGCACGAAAGUGCGGGGAUCAAACAGG